AUUGAACGCUGGCGGCAGGCCUAACACAUGCAAGUCGAACGAGUGGCGGACGGGUGAGUAAUGUCUGGGAAACUGCCCGAUGGAGGGGGAUAACUACUGGAAACGGUAGCUAAUACCGCAUACCAUCGGAUGUGCCCAGAUGGUAUUAGCUAGUAGGUGGGGUAACGGCUCACCUAGGCGACGAUCCCUACCUGUUCUGAGAGGAUGACCAGCCACACUGGAACUGCGACACGGCCCAGACUCCUACGGGAGGCAGCAGUGGGGAAUAUUGCACAAGGGGCGCAAGCCUGCUGCAGACAUGCCGCGUGUAUGAAGAAGGCCUUCGGGUUGUAAAGUACUUUCAGCGGGGAGGCGGUACCCGAAGAAGAAGCACCGGCUAACUCCGUGCCAGCAGCCGCGGUAAUAG
rnacentral:rRNA from 1 species